rnacentral:tRNA from 1 species
GCCCCUGUAGCUCAAUUUGGAUAGAGCAGUCCCGUCCUAAGGGAAAGACUGCAGGUUCGAGUCCUGCCAGGGGCG